CGUACGGGUGAGUAACACGUGGAUCAUCUACCUCUUGAUGGGGGAUACCUCUGGGAAACCGGAGACAAUACCGCAUAAGCUCGAGAGAGGAAAGCCUGCAAAGGCGUCGAGAGAGGAGUCCGCGGCCGAUUAGCUAGUUGGUGAGGUAAAGGCUCACCAAGGCGAAGAUCGGUAGCCGGCCUGAGAGGGCACACGGCCACACUGGCACUGAAACACGGGCCAG
rnacentral:rRNA from 1 species